CGUUAUCCGGAAUCAUUGGGCGUAAAGCGCCUGUAGGUUGUUUAAUAAGUCUGUUGUUAAAGACUAGGGCUCAACCCUAGAAAAGCAAUGGAUACUACUAGACUAGAGUAUGGCAGGGGUAGAGGGAAUUUCUAGUGUAGCGGUGAAAUGCGUAGAUAUUAGAAAGAACACCGGUGGCGAAAGCGCUCUACUGGACCAUUACUGACACUCAGAGGCGAAAGCUAGGGUAGCAAAAGGGAUUAGAUACCCCUGUAGUCCUAGCCGUAAACGAUGGAUACUACAUGUUGUAUUUAUUUUACAGUAUGGUAGCUAACGCGUUAAGUAUCCUGCCUGGGGAGUACGCUCGCAAGGGUGAAACUCAAAGGAAUUGACGGGGGCCCGCACAAGCGGUGGAGCAUGUGGUUUAAUUCGAUGCAACGCGAAGAACCUUACCAGGGCUUGACAUACUGCGAAUCUCUUUGAAAGAAGAGAGUGCCUUCGGGAAUGCAGAUACAGGUGGUGCAUGGCUGUCGUCAGCUCGUGUCGUGAGAUGUUGGGUUAAGUCCCGCAACGAGCGCAACCCUUGUUUUUAGUUACCAAUUCGUUGGGUUUUCUAGAAAGACUGCCGGUGACAAACCGGAGGAAGGUGAGGAUGACGUCAAGUCAGCAUGCCCCUUAUGUCCUGGGCUACACACGUGCUACAAUGGUGAGGACAAAGAGUCGCAAGUUUGUAAAAACAAGCUAAUCUCGUAAACCUAACCUAAGUUCAGAUUGUAGGCUGCA
rnacentral:rRNA from 1 species